rnacentral:rRNA from 1 species
CCUACGGGAGGCAGCAGUGAGGAAUAUUGGUCAAUGGUCGGGAGACUGAACCAGCCAAGCCGCGUGAGGGAUGAAGGUACAGAGUAUCGUAAACCUCUUUUGUCAGGGAACAAAGGCGGGGACGUGUCCCCGGAUGAGUGUACCUGAAGAAAAAGCAUCGGCUAACUCCGUGCCAGCAGCCGCGGUAAUACGGAGGAUGCGAGCGUUAUCCGGAUUUAUUGGGGUUAAAGGGUGCGGAGGCGGUCUGUUUAGGUAGCGGUAAAAGCCUGGGGCUCAACCCCGGCCCGCCGUUGAAACUGGGAGUCUCGAGUUGGAGAGAAGAAUGCGGAAUGCGCGGUGUAGCGGUGAAAUGCAUAGAUAUCGCGCAGAACUCCGAUUGCGAAGGCAGCAUGCCGGCGCCACACUGACGCUGAGGCACGAAAGCGUGGGUAUCGAACAGGAUUAGAUACCCCAGUAGUC